UCAGGAUGAACGCNGGCGACGUGGAUAAGGCAUGCAAGUCGAACGGUUGUAGCAAUACAACAGUGGCGAACGGGUUAGUAACACGUAGAUAUCAACCCUUUACUCGGGCAUAACCUGGAGAAAUCUAGGCUAAUUCCCGAUAGUCCGGAAACGGUAAAGAUUUUUCGGUAAAGGAUGAGUCUGCGUCCUAUCAGCUAGUUGGUGAGGUAAUGGCUCACCAAGGCAAUGACGGGUAGGCGGAGUGAGAGCUUGACCGCCAACAAUGGCACUGAGACACGGGCCAUACUCCUACGGGAGGCAGCAGUCGAGAAUAUUUGACAAUGGGCGAAAGCCUGAUCAAGCGACGUCGCGUGUGGGAUUAAGAUCUUCGGAUUGUAAACCACUUUUCUAGGGGAAGAACUUUGACUGUACCCUAGGAAUAAGGGGUGACUAAACUCGUGCCAGCAGUAGCGGUAAUACGAGUGCCCCAAGCGUUAUCCGGAUUUAUUGGGCGUAAAGGGUCUGUAGGUGGUUUGUUAAGUUUCUCGUUAAAGCUCCAGGGCUUAACCUUGGAAAAGCGGGAAAAACUGGCAAACUAGAGGAUGUUAGAGGCUGAUGGAACACUUGGUGAAGGGGUGGAAUCCGUUGAUAUCAAGUGGAACACCGAAAGCGAAAGCAAUCAGCUGGGACAGUCCUGACACUGAAAGACGAAAGCGUGGGGAGAGAAAAGGAUUAGAUACCCUUGUAUUCCACGCCUUAAACGAUGAAUACUAGCUAUUGCAAGUGUCGACCCUUGCAGUGNCGAAGCUAACGCGUUAAGUAUUCCGCCUGGGAAGUACGGCCGCAAGGCUAA
rnacentral:rRNA from 1 species